CCUACGGGAGGCAGCAGUGGGGAAUUUUGGACAAUGGGGGCAACCCUGAUCCAGCAAUGCCGCGUGAGUGAAGAAGGCCUUCGGGUUGUAAAGCUCUUUUGUCAGGGAAGAAAAGGGUCUGGCUAAUAUCUAGGCCUCAUGACGGUACCUGAAGAAUAAGCACCGGCUAACUACGUGCCAGCAGCCGCGGUAAUACGUAGGGUGCAAGCGUUAAUCGGAAUUACUGGGCGUAAAGCGUGCGCAGGCGGUUUUGUAAGACUGUCGUGAAAUCCCCGGGCUCAACCUGGGAAUGGCGAUGGUGACUGCAAGGCUAGAGUUUGGCAGAGGGGGGUAGAAUUCCACGUGUAGCAGUGAAAUGCGUAGAUAUGUGGAGGAACACCGAUGGCGAAGGCAGCCCCCUGGGUCAAAACUGACGCUCAUGCACGAAAGCGUGGGGAGCAAACAGGAUUAGAUACCCUGGUAGUCCACGCCCUAAACGAUGUCUACUAGUUGUCGGGUCUUAAUUGACUUGGUAACGCAGCUAACGCGUGAAGUAGACCGCCUGGGGGAGGUACGGUCGCGAAGUAAGUUAAACGUUAAAGUUAAAGUUAGUUAGGACGUGAGACGUUGCGACGGACGACGACGAGGGAGGAGG
rnacentral:rRNA from 1 species